AGUGAACGCUGGCGGUAGGCCUAACACAUGCCAGUCGAACGGCAGCACAGUAAGAGCUUGCUCUUACGGGUGGCGAGUGGCGGACGGGUGAGGAAUACAUCGGAAUCUACUUUUUCGUGGGGGAUAACGUAGGGAAACUUACGCUAAUACCGCAUACGACCUACGGGUGAAGGCAGGGGAUCUUCGGACCUUGCGCGAUUGAAUGAGCCGAUGUCGGAUUAGCUAGUUGGCGGGGUAAAGGCCCACCAAGGCGACGAUCCGUAGCUGGUCUGAGAGGAUGAUCAGCCACACUGGAACUGGGACACGGUCCAGACUCCUACGGGAGGCAGCAGUGGGGAAUAUUGGACAAUGGGCGCAAGCCUGAUCCAGCCAUACCGCGUGGGUGAAGAAGGCCUUCGGGUUGUAAAGCCCUUUUGUUGGGAAAGAAAAGCAGCAGGUUAAUACCCCGCUGUUCUGACGGUACCCAAAGAAUAAGCACCGGCUAACUUCGUG
rnacentral:rRNA from 1 species